rnacentral:rRNA from 1 species
GACGAACGCUGGCGGCGUGCUUAACACAUGCAAGUCGAACGGAAAGGCCCUGCUUUUGUGGGGUGCUCGAGUGGCGAACGGGUGAGUAACACGUGAGUAACCUGCCCUUGACUUUGGGAUAACUUCAGGAAACUGGGGCUAAUACCGGAUAGGAGCUCCUGCUGCAUGGUGGGGGUUGGAAAGUUUCGGCGGUUGGGGAUGGACUCGCGGCUUAUCAGCUUGUUGGUGGGGUAGUGGCUUACCAAGGCUUUGACGGGUAGCCGGCCUGAGAGGGUGACCGGACACCUGGGGACGGAGACAGGGCCGAGACACCCUCGGGGGGGAGGAGGGGGGAAAGGAUAAAAAGGGGCGGGGGCCAGAUGGAUGAACCCCGGGUGGGGGAGGGCGGCUUUCGGGUGGUAAACCGAUUUCGCCUGGGACGAAGGGUGAGGGAGGGAAAUGGGUAAAAAACCACCGCUAAAUUAGGG